rnacentral:lncRNA from 1 species
CUACUUAAAUACCAAUUUUGAUCAUUGAGCAAAUAUAACUGGUCUAAAUCCACAAAAAUAAGUGGUCAAAAAUCACAAAUAUAAAAGAGCCAAAAUCACGUUCUUUUUCAUUUGCUCCCAUAGACUGCCACUUGCACACCUGUGCUGGCACCAGGUUCAAAAAACUAGUUGGACUAGUACAUACCAACAGAUAUUUAUUGGUCCAACUAGGAACCAGCACCAACCGCCUUGUAUAGUCAGAAAUUGAAUUUUGUUAGUUUCUUAAUAUGAAGCUGUUGACAGACAACUGUUUACUAUCAAUAGCCAUCCUCUCCUCCUCUUCCCCUCUUCUCUCUUUCUUGUGGGCUCUCAUUGGUCAGAAACCUGAUUCCUAAUAGUUAGAAUUUCAAGAGAAUAUGUAUCAAAUUGGACUCUCAUUGACCCUCUUAGUUCAUCACUAAAACUUAAAAUUACAACGAAAAUCAUCCAACAAUAAUAGGAAAAUAUUCAAUACAUCACUCUGUCACAAUUAACACAAACUUAUAUAAGACCUAACUUGAAUCUGUCCUAUUUCACAUGUGCCCCUCCAUCAUAUAAUCUAUUGCAUAUCAAAUGAGUGGUAAAUUAUUCUGUGGUGUAUUUUGCUCAUUGAUAUCAAUAUUCUUAAUAUGUUCUACAAAUAUACAUAAUCACAUAUCAGUAUUUUUACCAAUAAUGAAUGUGCAUCAUUUGUAUCACUAUUUUUAUUGCCUUGAUGCAUAUCUGCAUAAUCACGUAUUUUGCUCACUAAUAGAAAUAUUCUUACUAUGCUCUAGCAUGUAUACGUGCUCAUAUGUAAGCACACAUACAUAUACAUAUGUAUGUAUAUGUAUAUGUAUAUGUAUAUAUAUAUGUAUAUGUAUAUAUAUAUGUAUAUAUAUAUAUAUAUAUAUAUAUAUAUAUAUAUAUAUACACACAUGUAUGUACGUAAGAAUAUUGCUCACUAAUAGCAAUAUUCUUACUAUGCUCUAGCAUGUAUACAUGCUCAUAUGGAAGCACACAUGCAUGUACCUAUAAACAUACAUAUUUACAGAUAAAUCAUAUAUACAUAUACAUAUACACAUACAUACAUAUACAU